UAUCCCAUUUUUUCAAAGUCAUCUUCUCUUUGAAUUAUUAUGCUGCGAAUAGCUUCAGAGUUCUUCGAUUCCGAGGUCUGAGAGUGUGAGGAGGAGUCCGUUUUUUUUUUGGGAGUUGUGUUUUAUUUACUUAAAGCAAACAGCGUGACAUCACCUACGAAAAAGCAGAAGAUGUAUAAAUCAAGGAACAAAUACUUCGCAGACAGCGAAGAGCGAGUGAUUUUAAGUCGCUUUCGUAAUAAGAGGGUUUGUACCAAAUUUUUUAUUCGAUUGCAAAUACCAGCGAGAUCAUGAAAUAUUCACAGGUUUUUGCAUUGUUCCAGAGGAUUCUCGCUGCAACACUGUAUUUAUGCGUCCUUAAUCUGUAAGUCCAGCCGUCAUAGUGGAACUAGAAAUUGGGAUAUUAUUCACAGUCAGGUCAAUAGGUUGUUCCUCUAAUCCAAUCAAACGGAUGAAACACUUGGACCUCCUGUAUCAACUUGUCCAAAGAAAGCCAGCGUGUUACCGUGGCGUUACUUUCACACAUAAGCUUGUAUGAAAAGGUAUUUGUGACCCCAGGCCUGAUUUUAAAUCCAAUGGCAAAAGGACCAGGAGAUAUACAUAUUCAACCCGGGAGAAAUAGGAUUUAGAAUCCUUGUCCGCUAAUUUAUGGAAGUUUGUCUGCCUAUUAUGAAUAUUUUUACCCUGUAAUUUGGGGCAAACAUCAAGAUUUUGCUUUGAAUAACUGGUGGGCUAAAUUUAAUAUUCUUAUUACAAUAAUAUUGUACAUGAAUGUACAAGAUGUACAUCCAAGGGAGAAGCUAAUUAAUGUGAGAGAAGAAAUACUACGUCUGCAUGAUGACAAAUAUGUAUGUAAUUAUAAAGGUAAGAAAAAGUCGCUUUUAUCUUAAAACUACCCUAAUCUACCAUUUAGUGUUUUAAUAUUUUCUGAAUCCUCUCCACUCUUUCAAUAAGCAAGUUGUUAUUCGUCUAGGAUUUUUCUGUGUUAUAUAGCUAGAAUCUAGACAUUUCUACAGUUUCUACUGAUGCAAUCUUGGAGAGGUCAGUUUCGCUUUGAACUUGUCAGAAAACUUGUCUGGUCCAAGCAUCGUUCCUAAAAGUCGAGAAGAAAUCUUUGAAAAAGUUUAUCAUUUUGAAAUUAAAACUUUUGCUCGUAUAACAUGCUUAGCUUGAGGUUUAUGUAGAGAAUUUCAGGUAAUUCUAGUGAAUGUCUAUGAAUAUUAUUAAUUAUUUGCUUGGCUGUCUGGAGGUGUCUAGCUUUUAUGCAAACAUGGUUUUCUAAGCGUCGCCUUUACAAAGCAUCUUGCCUUAGCGUGAGCUUAGCGUGAGCAAAUAAUGACACAGCUUUAUAGGGGGCUCGAGUAAUGCUACGAAAGUCACGAGAUACGAGCCGAUUAUCACGCGAGCAAACGCUUGUACCAGUAAUUUCCCGCUUCUUACUACACAAGACUCUUUUCCGGAACAUUGUUAAAAUAUUACCCUCGUUUAGCCAUGAAUUUUGUGACGCUCGCUGCAUAACGCAAUUCUUGUUGAAUAAUUCAUUUAGCUCUCAAAGCGUGUCGACAAUUGUUUCAAACAUUUUCUAGCUAAGAUAAAUAAUAUACCUUUUUCGGUGGAGGCUAGACCACCACGGAGGCUGAAGGACAGAAAAAAGAAAAAGGAUUAUCUACAAAAAGCAAAUAGACGCUUUGGAUUUUUAUUUUGAACAGUUCUUUUGUAUUGGAUAUCAAAAUGCAUUAGACUGUGCAAAGUUGUUUUCAGACGUUGCAUAUAGACAUAAAUACAGAUGAUACUUGAUAAAGAAAACUUUGAUGCCUUUUAGACGCUAUUCUUAUUAUAAUCUAGACUUUGAUCCUACAGAUGUUUAAUGAGGAAAAAAAAAAACAAAGGUGGUCAAGGGAUAUACACAUAUGAAAACUGAUAGGUCAGUUAUAUAAUUGUGUUACAUUUUUCCGGCCAUAUAAUAUCACCAUACAGUUACACUCAUUCAAGUAGAACAACUUUAUUCUUCCUGUGCGUUUGUAAAGAUAAACGUAUGGUGUAAUAUCAUGAUCAUAAUAUUCAUAAGAAAAACCAAUCAAACUUUUAAGGUGAAGGUCCUAGGUCACCAGGCAUUUUAAUUAAGACUUGCGCCUAUGCUUUUAAUCCAGACACUUAAUUAUAACUGAAAAGACGGGCCGGUUUUGAAUAGGUUUUAAAAAAAUAUGAAAAUGAUAUGAUCCACGAGACGCAAAGAGAGAAGGUGCGGUGUUUAUCUUUCGAACCCAGUUUCCUUUGAGUAGUAGACGCACGCCGGCCGGCGAGGACGACAGAAAAGCAAAUCUGUCCUGUAACGUGUUGGGCAGACCGCGAUUUUCGCUAUUCAGUAGACCAUUGCUUCCUUUAACAAGACCAGGCGUGAUGCCGGCUUCAGGCGUGCUACAACAACAACGUGCUUCCUACGAGGCCUAUUGAUGCAAGACUGGAGCCCGAAUAUAAUCGCACAGUAUCGACCCGUAGAUCCGAACUUGUGGAGUUUCACCACAGGCUCGUUUCUACGGAUCAAAACUGCGUCGAAAUACACACAAAAUGAAGAGUACAAUGGCGAAGAACAAGGAAGGUCGUAAAAAGUGGGUUAUAUCAAGCCUGCUUAAAAGGCGUUGUCUCUCCACGAUAGAUUAAAGCAUGCAGAUUGCCGCUUUAAUUCUCGUUAUAAACUAAUAGGAAAUAAACAUACUUUAUGGUAUUAAAAAGAUUUACAAAGUA